rnacentral:rRNA from 1 species
GAUGAACGCUGGCGGCGUGCCUAAUACAUGCAGGUCGAGCGAACGGACGAGAAGCUUGCUUCUCUGAUGUUAGCGGCGGACGGGUGAGUAACACGUGGAUAACCUACCUAUAAGACUGGGAUAACUUCGGGAAACCGUAGCUAAUACCGGAUAAUAUUUUGAACCGCAUGGUUCAAAAGUGAAAGACGGUCUUGCCGUCACUUAUAGAUGGAUCCGCGCUGCAUUAGCUAGUUGGUAAGGUAACGGCUUACCAAGGCAACGAUGCAUAGCCGACCUGAGAGGGUGAUCGGCCACACUGGAACUGAGACACGGUCCAGACUCCUACGGGAGGCAGCAGUAGGGAAUCUUCCGCAAUGGGCGAAAGCCUGACGGAGCAACGCCGCGUGAGUGAUGAAGGUCUUCGGAUCAUAAAACUCUGUUAUUAGGGAAGAACAUAUGUGUAAGUAACUGUGCACAUCUUGACGGUACCUAAUCAGAAAUCCACGGCUAACUACGUG